UGGCUCAACACACUGACCGCCCCAAAUUGAGAUCCGGGGGGCCCCUUUUUGUAUUGUCAAAUAGAUAAGUAGACCCAAAAGUCGCUGGAUAGAUAGAUGGAUCUGGAACAUUCCCUGAUCUGCUGAUAUCUUCAGAUUUGGAACCAUAGGCGUAGAUGCAGGUCGACACCCAAGCAUGGCCGUGUCUUGAAGAAGAUCAAGAGAAUACUUCCUUUGAGAAAGAGAUAUUACCUUGGGAAGGGAUCGGCAAACCAAUGGCCAAAAAAUAACGCAGAGAUCCCAAAAUCUUAAUGUCGAAUGCCUCUUAAGUCCAUGUUUUACUGAAUAAUCCCAGAAGUAUCAUCUCAUGUGAUGAUGUAUCAAUCCCAUAAAUGAGAUAAUGGACGCACCGUCCCUGUGAGGCUGGCGACGAAUAAAGCAGGUAUGAUCUGAAAAAAAAAAAAAAAAAAAAAAAAAAAAAAAAAAAAAAAAAAAAAAAAAAAAAAAAAAAAAAAAAACAAAAAAAAAAACAAAAAAAAAAAACUGAACUGAGCAAACCCAAUAGACAAAAACUACCUCACUAAAAGAUGAAACCAAGCCCGAGGAGACUGAUAAGACCGUAGAUAGAUUUUUGAAGGCGACAAACAUUCACCAAAUACUCCCCCUGAGCCGAAAAACCUGGAGGGGGAUCCAUAUAUAUAAUCUCAGAAGGUCACCCAAGGAAGGGCAUUUUUGCAUCCAAUUGUAAAGAGCAAGAAUAAAGACGCAGGAGAGAACCCAGAGGCGAAUGAGUGUUUAUUUAGCAAAUGGGGCAAUGUGGCCACCAAAAUCUUUGCCUGCAAUCUGAGAAAACAUUAGCAACAAGGCGAGCUUAACCUAUCCACCAAAACAUCGCUAAAUACUUCACAAUGAACACCCAUUUACAACCAACAGUUCGUCACCUGGUGCAAAGGAAUACAGACCCAGUCCGAGUACGUGAAGAGGCAUCCAUUUCAACCUCGUAGCAGAAACCACAGAGGAUUCUGACGCGCUUCAUGGACGAGCGAGAGUGAAACAGAGUCGACAUGACUUAAAAAAGGACUGAUAGAAGUUUGAAGACCAUGAUAAGAACAAUAAUUGGCAAUAGGAUGAUAGUACUAUGGGAAGAAGCAAACGAGAGGGGGGCGACGAACUCGGGUGGGAUAACGGGAGAAAGGAAAGAUCAGAAACUACAGGGGAAAGAGAUACCUGAGUCCGGAGAAGAUGCUGGAAGGGGAAUAGAGCAGCGCCCACUAGCAAUGGUGGAGGAGAGUCAAAGAAUAGGAUAUGUUCGGACGAGGAUGGGCAGAACCCUCCACAUACAAGACGGAAGCAGUGCCCGGGAAAGAUGAAGAACCUGAGAAGAAUGGACAGUCUUUCCAAAAAAGGUGACCUCCAAUGAAUGGUAAAUAUGGACUAAUGACGGAAUAAUAACAAGCGAUACCCUUGACCAUCGAGGAAUACCCAAGAAAGACACAACGAAUGGCUUUAUCAUCAAAGUUGGUAGGGUAGGCUCUUGAUUUGAACACAAGCAUGUACAGCCCAAGACACGUGGUAGGAUAGGGAAUAAGAUACUAGUAGGCUGAAGGAUAUGAAGCGGUUGCCUUACCAUUGUAUACACGACUAGGAGUGAGAUUGAGAUGUAGGUGGAGUGAGGACGGCCAUAUGCCAAACUAUUAGGAACACCCAUUCCCCGUAAUAAACAUCGGACCAUAGCAUAAUAUGACGGUUUUUUUCUUCCGACACGCCAUUCUGUUCGGGAGGUGUACAGACAAGUGAGUGAUGGAGUAUACCACGUUUAUAAAGUCAGCCCACAAAAAUCAUCGUGAUUACUCACGACCAUUAUCUGACCGGAUAGUGUGCCAACCUGUGUUUACUUGUUUUGAUCAUUGUAAAAAAAGGGUAAAGUGGGAGAAGACUUCAGAUUUAUGAUGCAUUAGGUUGACCCAAGUACAACGGGUGUAAUCGCUAGAAAUGUGAAAUUAAUAACGAUAAUGAGACAGGAGGAGCAGUACUGGAGGAAGGUCCCCAGACAUUUGGUGGAAUAAGUCAAAGGCACUAGGUGCACGAUGCAUGCGAGGAAUAUAAGAGUGCGAGUAUGUUUAGAUAGUUCACAAAUGGACAUUGAAAAUCAACUUUCUGGCAUGCUCUAUUGAGAGAAGAAAAAAGAAAACAUAAAUAUGAAAAUUGGAUAUGCCCUAAACGAGCGUGCCACAGAUUUAAAGUUUUAAUGAAAAGACAGACGAAUUAAAAUAGACAAACUUAAAACGGAGGGAUCUAAGACUGGUGGAGCAAAAGCUUUGAAGACUAGAGGACAAGGCACUCGAUGUUGGUGUAUCUCCAAAGUAGUAAAGUCCAUCACGCUUAUACCCCCUACCAAAAAUCUUCUUCGACGUCAGGUCAUGCAAGAAACAACGCAGAUGGUAAGAAUACAACAACACAAUUAAGGUUUUUUGCAAGACGACUAACAGAAAGAAGUUAUAGGCCAAAAAUCGGAAUGUAAUAAACCGAGGAAAGCAAUAAACUGCGGACAAGGCGGGAUCACCCUGACUAUGAAUAGCAUAGAGAAACCAUCAGCCAAUACAAAGACUGCUUAACAGAAGUGAUAGGAAGGGUAAAGUAGAAAGCUCCACCGCAGUCAUGUGAUAUUAGCCCCAGAAUCCAGAAUCCAAGUGGGGUGACUGAUUUACCAUGAAGGCGUAGGACUUUCUGCAGCGAUAUUGGCCAUGGGACCAGAGGAUGAUGAUGGAGGGAACCAAACCCAAGUGCGACUGUAGUUGAGCACUUGGGUUGAAGGAUGAUUGAGAUUGGUAUCUCAGUAUGCAUGGGUUCUAUUUCUGCAAUAGCGCCGGACUCGAGGAGUUGCACGGACCACUGCCGGACCACCGACACGAACCCACCAGCGGUUCGAUUGAAUGCUUUCAAUCAGGAUGUAAAACAAAGCAGACGAUCAAUAAGGUGACCAGGCUUGUGACAGUGACUGCACAAUAUGGGCGAGUCCCGAAAGAGCAACAAGGCUGUCUGAUCCGGAACAAUAGGAGAUGUCUCAGGCAGGAAAUAGUUGGUAGAAGUCUACGCCUCGUCAUCACCAUCAACAAUAGCAAAAGCCUCAUAAAGGACGGCAAGGUGAUGUUGUUUAAAAUUUGAGUAGAAGAGCCUCAAACUCAGGUUUAAACCCAUCAACAAAAAAAUUGAUAUGUAUGUCGACGAUCAAGACGCUUGCGAUCAACGGCCCCAUCACUGGAAAAAUCACUAAGGGAAUGGAUGGGCCAAUUCCUCCCAUUAGUUUGGAGAAUUCCAAAAUAAUGCUGCAACCAAGAGUCCCAAGGCAGGUUGAGAGGCAGGGAGAUAUCUCGGUAGAGUCAAAGAUCCGGGACUCAUGCGGGGGGGGGGGGGCCAAUGGCAAUACAUCUGUUCAAAGCAGUUCCAUAAACCAUGGACAGUCUAUAUGAUACAUAAACAGGGUAUACUCGAUCCUCCAUCGAGGUAAAACAUCCCAUCCCAAACUGAUACAGUUAUCUGAACCCAUCAUCAAAGUGGGAUCGAUUCAGUAGGCUUCGGUUCUUUACUAGAUCCAAACGGGUCUGCGCUUCCACCUAUAGAGCUGAAGAACGAGACCAAAGUAUGAAAGUUUUUUCCCAUUUAACCACACGCUCGUGACACGUUGAGCAGGUGAGAAAGAGAAGGAGGAACAGAACUGCAGCAAACAGGAAUUGAGGCGAUAGAGCAAUUUCCUUGGUUGGGUCAGCCAUAACAGUAAACACUAGAAAUGAUCACAAGACAAGAAAAAUAUAAGUUUUUUUUUACUGCGGAGAAGGACUAUAGAGCUGCGCUUGGACGGAACGAGAGUGUGCUGGCAAGGAUUUGACUGAGCUGAGGGCUGAUUACACAAGCUGGCGGCCGCUGUGUGGGAUUUGGCAGACAGCACAAGGCUAUUUGGGUGCUGGCCUGCGCAGCGAUGACUGCGCAAGAAACUGUUGGAUUGUGAUGUUCGCGGGUUGGAGCAGCCACAGGUAUUGGGCGGAUGGGUGGCUGUGGAGCAGCAGCACAGGCAGGAGAAGGGGCUGCUAGGCUGCUGGAAGUGCAGCUAAACUUAAGCAGAAUAAGAGCUCACGGCUCGAUACCAAAUAGAAUUUUAGGAGGAAAACUAUCGUACAAUUACAAUCUUCCACAUCCUAUAUAAUAUACACAACUAUUCCUAAGUUAAGGAACCCUAAAGACAAUCCCUAAAACAAUCCCUAAAAUGAAGGAAACACUAAUCCCUUAAAAACAAGGAAACAUGUAAUAAAGAAUAAGGAGGAAUCAAGGAAUUCCAACGUAUAAUAUGUGAUAAUGUACCUGAAUUUGAGAAGUGGAAAGAAAUGGUUGAUACAUGGGAUUGUCCCAAUUAGUCAUGGCUUUUGAAACUAUAUGAGAUUCGAAAAAAAUGAUCUCCUACCUUUAUAAUCGUGAUAAAUUUUAGUGUGACAUAAGUUCUAGUCAAAGAAGUGAGAGCACAAAUAUGGUUUUCCAACAUAUGGCACAUAAGACAUUGGCUCUAAUGAAUUUGUGCAACACUAUGAAAAUAUGCUUGAGGCAGAAGUGAUUGAUGAUUUUAAGUGUGUUCAUGGACAACCUCUAAUCGCCUCUCGUGAUUGUGGAAUUCUAAAACAUCCGCGUAAUGUCUACACCAACAAAAUAUUUAGAAUGUUUCAAGAUGAAUUUUUGCAAAAACAUCAUUCUCGGUGAUGGAAAACCUCUCUAGUGAAAUAAUGCAUAUGUUUAAGCUGAGAACGGAGAAUGGUAGUAGGGUAUAUGUUGUACACCUUAAUUUGCGAUUGUUCAAUCACAUGUAGUUGCAAAUAGGUUGAGUCAUUGGGAUUGUUAUGUCGACGUGCAUUCAGCGUUUUGAAUUUGAAUGAUGUUAAUAAGAUUCCUGAACAAUAUAUAUUGGAGAGAUGGACGAAAGCUGUGAAGCAAGGUAGUGUCAGGGAGAGGCACACUAAAUUAGCACAAGAUAAGAGUAUGUUAAAUCUUAUAAAUAAUAAUUUUAUUAAAAAAGAUAAGAAUAUAUCACAAUACUAAACAGGAAAUUACAAAAUUAAAAAUAGUAAUAGAAUAUGCAAAUGAAAAAAAGGUCGUGUUGAGGUUUCAUGUUCACACGAUGUCCUUAAGGCAAAUUCGCCCUCGUUCGUGCUUUGGUCUUGGUGAGCGUCGCUUCACAAGAUACAACACCACCUUCGAUUAGUGAUGGCAUAGCACUGAUCGACUUGUGAAUUCACAGUGUUUCUAGUCUCUCAUUUGCAAGAAAGAAAGUUGAGAACAGAAAGGGUCUCUCAAAUUGUUAGUGCACUCAAUUGUUGAUGUUUGUUAGAAACAAAAAAAGAGACUGACUUUUUAUAAGAGUGAAAGAUUUUGUAAUUUAUUGCAAUGAAUUGAUGACCAUAAUAUGGUGAUUAAUGGUUGUGUAACAACAGCUAUUAACCUUACAUAACUCCUUCAUUAAUUAGUGUAUUAACACUAGAAUCAAUGUAUGAUUGAAGUAUAUUUUCCACCAAAGUUCAACUAGCUUACUUUAAGUGACAAUAUCUCAUUUACCCUUAAUGGUUUUGAACAUACUUUAUACAGUUGAAAAUCUCUAAUGGAUGAGAAUACAUUCCUACUUUGUUUCAUAAAAAAUGAUGAAUUAAAGUCUCAUAUUUUUUAGCUCAAAGUCACUGAACUCAUAUUUCAAAACCAAUUUUUUUAACAUAGUGGACAAUUUAGCAAAAACGUGUCUUCAUCGGUUAAUGCGCAAAGCAUUUACUCUCAUGAAUCUAGCUUCAAAUUUAGAAGUCACAAGUGAGAUUGCGGAAAGAAACACAGUUAGUACUUUUAAGGGAAUUAAAAGAUACAAUGCUUCCUUUCGUGGUGGAGAUCCAUCUGAAGAUGAUUGUCACACAUCUAUGCCAACUUUUGAUACCCCUGUAAUGAAUCCCUCACGACUGAGAUCGAAAGGACAUAAAUACGAUAGAACGAAUGGUGUUUUAGGGAGGAAAAAUUAUAGUUACAUCUCUCUUUAUGUUCUCUUUUAUUAGACACUGCAAUGCAGUCAUUAUUCUAGGACCAUCCAGGUUUCAUUCGCCAACGUUAAAAAUUCCAAACGUCGACCAUUAUCUUUUCAAUGUUAAAAAUUGCAAAGAGAGCGGUGGGGCCAUUUGAAUUUUAGAAUUUAUUUGAAUUCAAAAAUUUGGAGAGAGAGAUGCCCAGGAGAGAAAGAGGGAAAUGAGGUUUAUUGGGAAUAGAAUUUUAGGAUAGAGAAAGUUUCUGCUUUGUCAUAAUUAGGGGAGAGAACGUAACAAAAGCUAUAUUUCGUUUCAGAAAGGCUACAACCACCGAUUCCUUUACCGAUACAUUUAUCGAUUCCCCCAAAUGACGUCGUUUUGAAAAAAAAAACUUAAACGGGACGAUUUUAGCAGCCCAACUAAAACCCAAUUUUUGUUCAAAACUCGAGAGAGAGAGUGCUCAAGCGACCACCCCUCCACCGUCCGAUGACCACCGCUCUAUAAUACCCCGAAUCGUGAAAACAAGUAUUAAAUUUAAUUUUAAAUGCAACUAAUAUUUUUGCAAUAAAUUUUAAAAUUAGGAAAAAAAUAAAAUACAAUAAUGCGACACGUUGUGAACAUGUGGGUACGUACAUGGAGACACGUGGUGACAUGUGUCACCACGCAUGUGAAGUGAUGGACCGCAUGAGAGCUGUGCAUGUGUGUGUGUUUCAUAAAUGAGGGUGGGAGUGACCCGUGGGUGUGUGCAUGUGUGGUGCAUGUGAGGCAUGAGUCUAACAAACCAAAACAAAACUCUUUAACUUUAAGAAUAAAUAGCUGGGCUAGCCAGCACUUUACAAAGAACUUAGAAAAAGAAAUAGAAGUGAACAGAGAGAAAGUUUGUGAGAAGAGUUCGGGAGAAAGAAGAAAGAUAGGAACGAUACUAGUUUUCUUACCGAGGUAAAUUCUAAAUUUUAUCUCCUUUAUUUUUUUUAAGCCUUAUUAUAGAAUAUCAUAUCUAGUACAAUUUAACUCUCCAAAUAUCCCCAAAAUAUCGCAUUUAUAUGUGUUUUUAAAAUUUAAAAUUCGUUAAAAUUAUCUACAACUUUUAUGAAGAACAUUAUUUUCAAUUUAGACUCUAAAAUGGUCUACAAUUGACCUUCAAAAUGACUUAUGAAACUAAAAAAAUAGUUUAAAAUAGAAAUUUUGAGAAUUUUAUAAAAAUAGUUAAAAACCUUAUAAAAUUCUGAAAAUUUUAUAUGUUAUACAUUUAUAUGUAUAAUUAUUAUAUAUUUAAUUUCAUGAAUUUAGAAAAUGGUUUCAAUGUGUAAAAUAAUUUAUAACUGAGCUGUUGUCAAUAAAAAUCAUGAGCAGGAACUAGGAGAAUUUGGCGAAUUUUUAAAAAUAGUUAUUUAACUUAAAAAUUUAUAAUAUUUUUACUGUAAGUAAAUAUAUGUGUCUAGAAUAUUGUGAAAAACGUUUGGAGUCAAAUUAGCUUUGGUGAAUUUUAUAAUAAUAAAAUAGUGAAUGACUAUUUUUGAAUAUUUAAAGUAAAACAUAUUUGCAAAAAGUAAUUUGAAUUAUUAAUUUUUAAGAAAAUAAAAUUAUGACAUUUUAGCAUAUUCAUAUCCACGAGAAGAAUAUUAAAUCUAACAAUUCAAUAUUAAACAUUAGACCUUCGAGGACUUAGCUCGGACUUCACCACAAUGUGGUAGAGAUUUUUGGCAUAUUUCGAUAUUCUUGUUAUGUAUUUCAUAGCAUAAAAGUAACUGUAUUAUAUUUGAAAUCAAACUUGUGUUUAAACUGAUAUGUUUAUAUUUAAAAAGUAUGCCUUUGUUUUUGUUAUACCGAUAAAAUAAAUUAUAAAAAGAUAUUUGUGAAAAGUAUUUUUAAGUCGACACAUAGUUCAUACGAUGCCCUGCAUUCUAGGGAGAAUAUAACGUGAUUGAUGUAUAGGAGAAUCUGAUCAAUGAUUGUGGGAUGAUUCAUACCCACAGGUUUAGGGUUGCUCCCUAUGUUUCUGGUGUUCGUUAAACUUUAGAUGUGUCGCAAAUUGUCAAUUGUACAUGAAUUUAAAACUUGAUGUAUAGUUGGCGCCCUGAGCCAUUAGUCCCGUUUAAUGGACUGAUUUGAUAUUGUAUCUUGACCCUUUGAAUAAUUAAGAGUUGGCCUAUUGAGCCAUGGAUUGACAAAAAUGAUUUCAUUUCUUAUUUUAAAUGAAUCUGAUUUUCAUAAUUUUUCAUGGUGCAAAUGUAUGUUUUGUAUACCUGACUCACACUAUCUAGUACUUAAGAUAUUGUCGACGUAACUCAUUUCAAGUGAUGAAAAUAAGGAAGACGAGAUAAGGUGGUGACCCUAGCACUUUGACCUUUAUUUUUUUUGAUUAAUGUAUAGUUUUUCGAACUUGUAAGUUUAAAUUGAUAUAAUAGUGUUGACGGUUGUGCCUUUUGUGGCCAGACUGUGUUGGUUUUUGUGUAUCAAACCAUUUUAAUGUUGUAUAUAUUUGUAUUUGGUUUGAAUAUAGUGAACUCAGGCUUUAUUUUUAUUGGAUGCUUUUCGCAUGUAUUUUUCAUUCAGCAUUUAUGUUUGAAUGAUGGUAGCAAAAUCCCUAAACUGAAUUAGUUAGAAAGGCCUUAGUGAGAUGGGAUUUGACUGGCCGGUCAUAUGGCACCUGUAUUAUUGAUGGGACCUAGUGUUUAACGGGUCGAGUCGUGACAGUUGUGGUAUCAGAGCUUAGGCUUUAGAUCUUACAUGUGACUGGUGUGGGAGUUUUAGGUGGUGGAUCUUAUGUAGGAUAAAUUUUUUACAUUUUAAGUUAGUUUGCCCAAAAUAUGAUUUUUGAUCAGAGAUCGCAGUAGAAGCGUGUAUUUUGAUAUUUUGAGACGAAAUUUUUUAAGGGGGGGAGAAUGUAAUACCCUGACCCUUCAUUAUCUUAUAGAAAUUAUCAUAAUAAAAAUUGUUGGGAUUAAAUUAAAAAAAGAUUAAAGACUUUGGGAUACAUUAAAGGGAUCUUUAAUAAUAUAAUUAUUUAAAAAGUUGAAGGGGUUGAAGUGUAAAUUUUAUAAAUUAAUUGACACAUGUCAAGGGUGACGCAUCAUCGACCGACUACUUUGCAUUUGUCCUCUUUAAAAACAAAAGUUCGAAAUUUGACAGAGACUUGAGAGAAGAACGAAAUGAAUAAAGGGAAACUUAUUAGUGUAGUUAGUUGAUCAUGAAAAGUAGGAAAGUACAUCAACAGUGAGAUGAUAUCGGAGCGAAGUAAUUUUAGUGUGAUGAUCAUGGAAGCCAUAUUUUCAUAUCUAAGGGUGUCAAUAUCAAUUUUAAGGUAAGCAAGAGGUAUACAAUAUAUUUUUUAAAACUCCGAAAUUAUUUCUUAAAUUAUCUAAUUUGGACUCCAUUGAGCAAAGGUGCUAUCUGUUGAAAUUCAUUGACAUUUGUUGAAAUCAUGAUUUGCAUGGGCUAAAGGCCAUGCAUUGAAUGAUACGGGACUGGGUGAGCUUGCAAAUUUAACGCGGGCAAACUGGGUAUAGCCAGAAAGGCUAUGUGAGGUGGGGUGGCGAGGGCCGGCCACCAGUCGUUGUACCUAGGAAAAAUAGCGGUACGAGCUUUUGAUGAAUUUAUUGAUUGUUGAGUAUAUUCCGCGUAUUGUAUCUUCCCUGCUUAUGGAUUUUUCAGGUGAACAAUGAGAGCGUCCGAGAUGGGUCGGGAGAAAGAAUUAAGUUUAAUUAUUAUUUGUAUAUUAAUUUAUGUUGAGAGAUUGUAAAAUCUAAUAUUUAGACAUUCUAAUUAUAUAUAAAAGGAGACGAUUUUGGAGAUACGAUUUCGAUUACAAUUAACGGUCCGGGCCGGGUCGUUACAUGCUCGCCCGUAACAAGUAACAUUCUCUCCCCCCAUCUCUCUAUAUCCAUACGUGUGUGUAUAUAGAGAAAGAUUCAAAUUUUUGGAGGUUUUAGUCCAAAUCUAUUUUUUUUGUUGGUGUAAUAUUGAUUUCUGAAAAUAGAGAAGCCUUGGUGGUGGUGGUGGUGGGCUUUUGUGGGAUUACUUUUUUACACAAAAUUGGUUCUGAAAAGCAGAUCUUGGGAAGCAUCACCCAAAUAUUGUUUGUCGUUUAUUUUUUCUAUUUGUUGUAGGAGUAAGCUUGUCUAGGAAAUUAAAAAUGAUGGAAAGCAUGCAUAUGCAUUAACCUCAUCCCAUCUUUUUGAGUUAAUCGAAGUUGAGUUAACACUCAACAUAUUUACUGCUAAAUAUCUCAUUGUUAAGAUUUAAAAAUUCAUUAAGAGUGUUCAGAAAUUGUUUUGGGCUUGGCAGAAAACAAUGUCAAUGACAUAUUUUUGUUUGUUCUUCUAGCUAACUUUCUUGAUCAAUUUUCACUCUUCAUGUUUCUUAUUCUAAGUUUUAUAAUACCUGACCUUAGAUUGUGGAAUUCAUUGCGGCGCUACUGAAAACUGGCAAUGAAACCGUGGAGAAGGAAUUGAUCAGCUUAAGGGACAGUACAAAGAGUCUUUGAUCUCUUGUUUGAGUAAGUUAUUACUUUAAUUGUAUUUUGUUACUCUUGAAUCUUAGUAAUUUAAUUAUUUUAAUGGAUCAGCAAGCUUGUUUCUUUUCUUGGGAUUUCAUGUGCCUUUUUCUAUUUUAUCACCGGAGUAUUUUUGUUUAUGAUGCAGGUACCCGUUAUUUCCAGUGAUCCAAAUCAGGUAGAUAGCAUUCUUCUAGCGAAGAAUUUUAAUUCAUAUUCUCUACUGCCUAUAAUUUGUUAGGUUUUGAUGUCGUUGGACUCUGUUUCGUCGACAUAACCUCCUCAUUUGAGUGGAUACAAUGAACAAGGAGAACAUGAGAUAUCAAGUGGGACUUCAAAAAAAAUUGUGGACGACAUAGGUACGAAUGAUAAUGGAAAUGAGACAAUUAAAAAUUCUGAAUAUAGAGUUGAGGAACCGAAGGAGGGAAUGAAGUUUGACACAUCGACAAUUGAAGCACGUCGGCAUGACAACAUAUGCAAUCUCUUUAAUGAGGUUGCUAAUUUGGCAGAGGAUUGUGACGAGAAGUAUGAAAAGGGGAUGAGACGGGUACAGGAGCUAAAAAUAGAGUUGUUCGAAUCUUCGGUUGUUUGUGAAAGUAAUGUGUUUUUCGAUACUUCAAAUGCUUCUUUUUUACAUGGAGAUGUAGCUAUCUCUUCCAAAUAGAGCAUGAAUUUCCUUGACCCGAAAGUCGUUACUUGAAAAGAGAGACCGCCAACAACAAGAAAACAAGGUGUUGUUGAAAAAAUAUCUAAGAAGAAAAGAGAAUAAAAACAUAAGACAAAGGUAGAAUGCAUAUGCCUCGGCUCUAAAAGUAAAAACAACUCCAACCAUACUCCAUUUCUCCAAAAUGAAAUCUAAAAAUAGAGAUUUUGAUUAUUUUUUUAGUAUAGUUAAUACUCAAUUUUGGUCCGUAAUCAACUCACACACAUUCACAUUGUUUUGUAGAAGAUGAUACCAGCAGCCCAAUAGCAUAAAGCUUUUAUUCCUUGUACUUCACACAAGCCUAAGCUUUCACGUUUAACCUUUCAUUUGUUUAUUCAAACUAGAGUUUUUAUUAUGUGGAAUGAUGCUUUAGAUAGAAGCAAAUUAGUACAUUAACAAUAGAAGUUACGCUAAAAGUCUUCCAGAUUUGCUUUUCAGAAAUAAUUUUGUGACCACAAAGCCCACUACCACCACUACCAAGGCUUUUUUAUUUUCAGAAAUCAGAAUUACACCACCCAAAAAAAUAGAUCUGGACUGCCCCCCAAAAAAAAAUAAUUAAUUGAAUCUCUCUAUAUAUAUACACACACGUACGGAUAUAUAUAUAGAGGGGGAGAGAAUGUUACCUGUUACUGGGGAACGGUGGUCGUUGGACAGUGGAAGGGUGGUCACCAGCGCGCUCUCUCUCUCUUUUGAGUUUUGAACAAAAAUUAUUUUUCAGCUGGGCUGCUGAAAUCAUCCCAUUUAAGUUUUUUUUUUCUUUUCCCAAAAUCGACGUCGUUUGGGAGAAUUGGUAAAAGUAUCGGUGGUUGUAGCCUUUAUGAUCCGUUUGAUUUGGAUAGAUUUUCUGCUGAGUUGGCAAUUACGGACACAGCCUGACUUUUGGAAGAGUUGGCGGAAUUGUAUUGGGUAUGGGUACUAGAUGCAUGUGCGAGCGUGGUGCCCUAUAUGCAAUCAAAAGUUUCUCCAAAUUCUAUAGCAUGGGUAUAUGAGCCUCACCUUUAUAUUGUGGGCGUUACAUUUGGCAACUUCUUUUGUGAUUUUUUGAGGUGAUUUAAACAUGUUACAUCCUUACAAUCAGUUUUUAAAACCCGAUUGAUCCGCUCGGUUUUUGAUAGUCGACGGUUUGAAACAGUCGACGAAUUAUCCGGUCGGCCAUCAAAACCCAUUUUGAUCAAAAUCCGGUCAAACCCGUAGUUGAAUCAAAAACUAGGCGAUUGAACCGGUCAUUGAACCAUCCGGUUCACUAUUUUAAGGGAAAUUUUUAUGUAUUAAUUUUAAAAUUUUAGGUUUUAAGUAUAAAAAUUAGUGUAGAAAAAUAAAAAUAUUUUAUUACUAUUAAUAAAUAAAUUAAUGAUAUAAUUAUGAUAUCACGGGUUCAAUAACGAUUGACCCGAUGGUUUAUUGACCUUUGAUCUGUGAUCUGGUCUCUUUUUUUUUUUUUGGGCGCGGUCGCGCUCAAACGGUUCGGGUUUUUAAAAUAUUGCUCACAAUAUAUAUAUAUAUAUAUAAAUAUAUAUAUAUUAUAUAUAUAUAUAUUUUAAAGAAAGAAAAAAAGAAAGUCCAUUUGACUAUCUCCAUUGUUGUCCGUUUUUAAAGAUGUUUUUCGAGAAAAAGAAAGAGCAAUUUUAUUGGCUAAAUGAGCUCUUUUGGUUGCUUAAAAAAAACUAGUAAUUGAUCGUGCCCACGAUUAUUAUGUAAAAAAAGACCACCUCUUCGCUAGAGGUUUUUAACCUAAAAAAAAAAUAAGAUAUCAACGUCAUAUAGAUAUUUGCAUGCAUUAAGGGUGCACUACGGGUCCGGAUUGGGUCGGGUCUGUGUUUAGACCCGAACCGACCUGAACCAAUCCCGAUCUAGAAUUUUUUGGACCCAGAAUCCGACCCGAAACCGUCCCGACGACCCGAACCGACCUGACCGUUCGGUCGGUUUCGUUGGUUCUUCGAUUAUCGGGUUGGGUCAGGUCUUCCGAUUUUUAAAUUUUUUUUCACCACUAUUCUAUAUAAAAUGGCAAUAUCAAGUGUGGUAGAGUGUUUGUUAAGCCCAUAUGAUCGGUUCUAGACUUCGUUCUGAUCGUCAGUUUCUAGGCUUUCGAUUCUCGGGGGCGGUUUCCGAACGGGUCGGUUCUGGAUAAAAAAUCUUAGGGACCCGAGAAGAACCGACCCGAACCGCUUCGGGUCUAUGAUUUUCAGACCCGUAACCGACCCAUAGGUAUGAAAAACCCUAAGUCAAAACGACCCAAUGAGGUCGGAUCGUGUCGGGUCUCCUCGGGUCGGAGAAUGACUUUUUUGUUGCACCCCUAGCAUGCAUAUGCUAAGAGAUCACUACUACAAAAUGAAGAACAAUUUAGAUAGUAUAAUUAUUUAAAAAAAUUGCUGCUAGUUUGAGAGAAAUAAUAAAAAAUAAAUAAGUGUUUUGGUUAUUUUUUUUGUAGGUCUCGCCCAAAAAUUGAUCUAAUGGGUAAAAAAUAUAUCCACCUUAAGAGAUUUUUUUGCCAUUGGAUAAGAACUUAGCCCCACAAACCUUUAAGAAGAAUGAAGUGAUAUUUUUUAGAUGGAAAAAAAUAGUCUCAUGUGAAAUCUCAACCAUUAGAUUAAUUGAAAUGAAUUUUAACCGUAGAUAAUGGGAUAUAGUUUUAAAAAUUAAAAAACCAUUGUAUUUUAUAUUAUACAUUAAACAAGAAAAAGGCUGGGAGCAUAUUGUGUGUGUGUUUAUCACAAAGUAGUGACCAAUCAUACGCGAUGUGUGUAGCACAAAAUUUUAUACAUAUUGUAGUCUAUACUAUAUAUAUAUAUAUAACUUGUUAGUGGGAGUAUGAGCUUUGAAUUUUAUAUUUGGAAUGAAAGAUAGAAAAAAGAUAAAAAGUUAUACAAUUAUUUAAGAAAUAAUUAAAAAUUAUACAAUAAUUUUUAAGAAAUAAUUAAAAAUUUUGUGACAUUUGAGCUUUUAGUUGUACAAUUUGAAAAAUCACAAUUGUAGUUACUCAGUUAAGUUUUUUUUUCCUUCACAAUUAUUUAGGAAAUAAUAAAAAUGUGAAACUUGAGCUUUUAGUUGUACAGUUUGAAAAAUCAUAAGUACGAUGGUUUAAAAUUACCUUCCCACCAAUUCAUAGAUAUGGCAAUUGAGUUUCUGAGAAAAAAUAAAUGGGCUUGGGGGAGUUUAACAGCCAUAGAUACCAGCCCAAAUCACAAAAAGCUCCAAGCGCACUUGAGGCUUACAGCCCGGCCCAGACCAGCCCACACACGAGGCCCAAUUAAUCACUGCACUUGACCCAACGCAGCUAGGCCAAGAAGUCCGAUAAAUAGCAGACGCCCUUCGUCUCGUUUCCUAACCGCCCAGAAAACCCUAACGCGAAGUCUACCAAGGAGCCGAACAGCGGAAAGGUUUACACUUUCAUCUCUCUCUGUUCUUAAUUUCGUAUUUCAAUGGCUUAUUUGAAGCUUUAAUUGUUUCGUAUAUCAAUGGCUUAUUUGAAGGUUUAAUUGGAUUUUGGCAGAGAUGGCGAAGUCGAAGAACCACACGGCUCACAACCAGUCGUACAAGGCUCACAAGAACGGGAUCAAGAAACCAAGAAAGCACCGUCACACUUCCACCAAAGGGGUACGUUCUACACACGCCUCUCUCUCUCUCUCUCUCCAUAUACAUUUAUAUUGCACACGCAUGGACAUGAAUUUAUUUCAAUUCGUCUCAGAUAAACCAUUACACAAAUAAGUUUUUGAUCAGGUAUUAAAAGUAUAAUACUUAAGCAAGUCUAAUAUAAUUUUGAUGAAUGCAAAUUUGAUUUGUCA
rnacentral:lncRNA from 1 species